GGCGGUGUGACUCAGUGGGUAGGGCAUUGGCCUCAUACACCAAGGGUGGUGGGUUCAAACCCGGCCCCAGCCA
rnacentral:tRNA from 1 species